GACGAACGCUAGCGGCGUGCUUAACACAUGCAAGUCGAACGGAAAGGCCCUGCUUUUGUGGGGUGCUCGAGUGGCGAACGGGUGAGUAACACGUUAGUAACCUGCCCUUGACUUUGGGAUAACUUCAGGAAACUGGGGCUAAUACCGGAUAGGAGCUCCUGCUGCAUGGUGGGGGUUGGAAAGUUUCGGCGGUUGGGGAUGGACUCGCGGCUUAUCAGCUUGUUGGUGGGGUAGUGGCUUACCAAGGCUUUGACGGGUAGCCGGCCUGAGAGGGUGACCGGCCACAUUGGGACUGAGAUACGGCCCAGACUCCUACGGGAGGCAGCAGUGGGGAAUAUUGCACAAUGGGCGGAAGCCUGAUGCAGCAACGCCGCGUGCGGGAUGACGGCCUUCGGGUUGUAAACCGCUUUCGCCUGUGACGAAGCGUGAGUGACGGUAAUGGGUAAAGAAGCACCGGCUAACUACGUG
rnacentral:rRNA from 1 species